rnacentral:rRNA from 1 species
CACGUAGGGUGCGAGCGUUGUCCGGAAUUACUGGGCGUAAAGAGCUCGUAGGUGGUUUGUCGCGUUGUCCGUGAAAACUCACAACUCAAUUGUGGGCGUGCGGGCGAUACGGGCAGACUGGAGUACUGCAGGGGAGACUGGAAUUCCUGGUGUAGCGGUGAAAUGCGUAGAUAUCUGGAGGAACACCGGUGGCGAAGGCGGCAUCCUGGACCGAGAUUGACGCUGAGGCGCGAAAGCCAGGGGAGCAAACAGG